rnacentral:lncRNA from 1 species
GCUAUGAAGCAUUGUCCAUCCCCUCCCUUCCUCCUUGGUACAAUGACAGCCAUAUGAUUGUAUAACCAGGUAAUCUUUGGAUCUAUACUCUACAGACAGACUGACAGCCUCUGCAUGGCUCUACUAUCCAGUAUAAUUACUGGGAAUAUAGUCGCUUAUACUUCCCCCAUAGGUAUGAGUUUGUGUUUUGGGGCAAUUAAGUGGGUAUGUGUAUUUAGCCCAUAUGCGCAGCGUGUAAUUAAACAUAAAAGUGCCAUUGAACAUGUUUGGCUGAGUGUUGGGAAAUUUCUCAAGCCCCAAAGGUUGAAGUGGAUUGGCUGUGUGUGGGUAUAUAUAGGGUCUAUCAGUCCAUCUCGCAGUCAAAGUAGAUGACUGUGUUUUACCUGAAGCAUUCAUUUUCAGCUGUUCUUGUCAAGACGAAAAGGGAGAAAAUGGGGCCACUGCUGCUUUUAGUCUGCAUGCUGGGAGCAACGCUCGCAGCUCCUGUCCCGGAAAGCGGAAGCAAUGAGCAGGUGGCAGCACAUGCUAAUGCUGCCCUGCAUUGGAUGGAGAUGUACCGGAGCUCCCUGCAGCUGAUGGGUGACGCACCUGCUGCAGACCUUCCCGCUCCUCCGGUCAGUGAUGACUCAGAGGAAGAGGAGGAAAAAGCCGCCGCAGCCCCCAAAGCAGCCGCCGCCGCCCCGCUGAACUCGGAGGAGGCUGGCGAGGACGGAGCCGAGGAGGAGGAAGCGGCAGAGGCGGCCGAAGAGGAACCCGCGGCCGAGGCAGAACCCGCGGCCGAGGCAGAACCCGCGGCCGAGGCAGAACCCGCGGCCGAGGCAGAACCUGCGGCCGAACCCGCGGCCGAAGGGGCUACUGAAGCUGUUGCCGAGCCUGCUGCCGAAGCUGCCGCUGUCGACCCGGCCGUAGUGGAGGCCCCUGCUGCGGAGGUAGUCCCAGCCGACGCCACUCCCGUGGUGGAGGCGGCCGCGGUGGAGGCUCCAGCGGUGGAGGCUCCCGCGGUGGAGGCUGCAGCGGUGGAGGUUCCCGCCGCGGAGGCUGCCGCGGUCGAGGCUCAAGUGGUCGAGGCUGCAGCGGUGGAGGCUGCCGUGGUAGCGGUGGAAGCGGUGCCAGAGCUGGUGGUACUAGCGGGUCCCGUGGAGGUCCAGGCUGGGACAGCGUAAUCGCCCCAGUUUGUCACCUCAAUUUCUCUCCUACUGACCUGAGUAUUAUGUCUCAGUAGGCCUAGGUCAUGUUAAUAUACUGACGGCGGCAGAUUUUUUGUCAUUUUGCCGGAUCAUUGGACAGAUCACAGGCCGCAUAUGGUCAGCCCAGACUGAUGUUAUUUUUCUUAUGUCAUUUACUUGAUGAUGUUUGUGAUGAUCUGUGAAAAUAAAUAUGUGGUGGUUGAAUUCAUCCACUCAUCAGGUUUAUUGUAUUACACUUAAAACGGAUCAAAUUGAUUAAAAGGUAACCAUUUACAAUAAGGGUACAAUAAUGAACUAUCAAUCUAAAUUAGUUAAUGCGAUUAUAAGCAUUAUCUAACAAUAACAAGAAGAUAAUUAACUUCUUAACGAAUAAUGGUGUAGUAGUCAUUACUUGUUAACUAAGUCAGUUUUUGAUUUAUACUUUUUCUAAUAGCACACAAAUUAAGAUAUUUGUUGUAUUAUAUUGAAUGAUUACUAGACCAUAAAUUAACUGUAAAUAAGCCCUUAGUUCACAUCACUCAUGGUUAACCUCUUUACCCUUAUUGUAAAGUGUUACCGAAUAACAGAUUACUACAGUUGAUCUUUUAGCAAUCCUUAAACAAUCAUAUUUCCAUAUCAAACCUAUAGUUAACCUAUCAUAAAAUAUAUACUAUAGCCUACAUUGCAUUUCCGUUAUUAGUCGUCGGCUCUGCUGUUUGGAUGCGAAUUGUCCAUCACCCACAGAACACUGCAGCCAAAGGAUCUUCCCAUGGGAUCGCAGAUUCAUCUAACAUGCAGUAGAUGUAGGCUACCAUUGUAACAAUCAAGCUCAGAUCUACAGAUGGGAUGGUUCGGACAGUCAUUUAUCACCACAUAUAAAUGCACAAGGGAUCGUGUGGCUCCAGUAGGACAGCAUUAGCAGCAGAACCGGUACACUCCCGGUGGAUUUGCUACAGCUUUAAUAGGAUAUAGAGGGGAUAGGCUAGAGUGCUGAGUAAGCACUUAACCAGCCAGGGAGGACUGAAGCGCUUAGAAUCCCUCCAAUAUAUAUUGGACAUAAUGCCCCCCCCCCCCCCCCCCCCCCUUAUGGGGAAUACAAACCACCUUACAUUAAGGAUCAGAGCUCUGUUUCAUAUUUCGUGUUUUGUUCUUUUUUUUUUUCUUUUACAUUCCUGGAUAACAAGUAAAUCCAGGAGAGUGCAAUUUUCUCCCUGAAGUAAAAAAAACAUAGCUAGUCACUUUUUUGCGGUUUCUUAUUGAUUGUGAAGUGUCUGAUAGUUGUCUGUAGUUGUGAUAUAUGAUGAUUACUCGUGUUCUCUGUAAAAAAUGUGUGAAAGAAAGGAGUGUGGAUGAAUGGUGGCCUCAUCCACUUUCAUCCUUCUCUAAUCCCCCUCGAUCCUCCUCAGGGUCACUCACAACUUAGUCUCCUUCCUGGGACUCUACGCUGCGUUUAAUUGUGCGGCUGCUCACCAAUACAUUCAUAUUAUGAUCAAUUCAACCUUCUGUGCUCCAAAGAUCAAACAAAACAUGGACUCAUCGCUCUAGAUUAGCUUGGUGGGAAAGGUAAGUUGGACAUAUAUAUAUUAUUUUUAAGUGUUAUAGCCUACUAUACACAGUCGGAUGCAGCUUAUGGGGAUUUAAUAUGCAGAUUGCAGAUGCAGAGAACAUGAAUUAUGAACACAGUAAAACAGAUGGAGCAUGGAAGAUGUAAUACAUAAUCAAGGGUGAUGUAGGGCUU